rnacentral:rRNA from 1 species
UACGUAGGGGGCAAGCGUUGUCCGGAAUCAUUGGGCGUAAAGCGCGUGUAGGCGGCCCGAUAAGUCCGCUGUGAAAGUCCAGGGCUCAACCCUGGAAUGCCGGUGGAUACUGUCGGGCUCGAGUCCGGAAGAGGCGAGUGGAAUUCCUGGUGUAGCGGUGAAAUGCGCAGAUAUCAGGAGGAACACCAGCGGCGAAGGCGGCGCUCUGGGCCGGUACUGACGCUGAGGAGCGAAAGCGUGGGUAGCAAACAGG